AGCGGGUAUAGAAUGGAUUUUGGAGGAGGGAGUCACCACUGGGCCUCCAAGGAAGCCACGUGCAGACAUCUACAACCUUCGAUCUCCUGACGA
ensembl:misc_RNA